rnacentral:ribozyme from 11 species
UCCACGCACAAGAGCGAACAAACGAAUGAACAAACCAACAAAAAUGCGAAUGAAAAACGGAAAGAAGGAUCUGCAGAACCUCACUUUUUCCCUUUAUUCUUACUGUCUUCAUUUCCUUCUCUCUUUCUUC